GCGUCCUGCCUCGUGAUCGUCUUCUCACCCUUCACAGGCAGGGGCACAACGGAAGGCUCCCGGGAGGAAGUUCCUCGCGGGAGCCUUCC
rnacentral:ncRNA from 1 species